CGCACGUUCAGCCGUCCUACUCGAAAAGUCCUCUUCGGGUCCUCACGGAGAUGGCUUUCUUUCCUGCACAACUCACAACCGCUGUGAGACUCUAAACUCAUCUUCAGGAGUUGAAAGGAAGGACCCAAGUAAGCUUCCGGAUGCUCGUCAGGUGAGCCGCCUCCUAAGGAUGCAUGGAGCCGCCCAUCUUCUUCCUCGCUCGAAUCUGAGCUCCAAGAAGAAUUGUCGACGCUGGCUGCUGCCUUGGGCUCCUCCACCUCCUCAAAUCUGCUUUGGCCACCGGAUUCAGUGUCGGGAUCAGAGCCUCUUCCUUGGGACUCCGAUCGGCAGAGCUCCACCGCGGCCCUUGCAGCUGCCGCAGCAAAGGCUGCUGCUUCGAAGGCAUCCUUCGCUGCACUGGCCACAUCUUCAUACUUAUUAGGCAUGGCAUGUAUGACGCGAAGCACGAUGACUUCGGAUGUAUUGGUAUACGUACCCCUGCAUCCUCAGAAGAAGGAUCAUAGAAAUCAAGAUUGAUGCCCGUCUCGG